CCUACGUGUGGCAGCAGUGAGGAAUAUUGGUCAAUGGGCGCUAGCCUGAACCAGCCAAGUAGCGUGAAGGAUGACUGCCCUAUGGGUUGUAAACUUCUUUUAGAUGGGAAUAAAGUGCAGCAUGUAUACUGCUUUUCAUGUACCUUAUGAAUAAGGAUCGGCUAACUUCGUGCCAGCAGCCGCGGUAAUACGGAGGAUCCGAGCGGUAUCCGGCUUUAUUGGGUUUAAAGGGAGCGUAUGCGGGUUGUUAAGUCAGGUGUGAAAGUUUGCGGCUCAACCGUAAAAUUGCAGUUGAUACUGGCGUCCGUGAGUACAGUAGAGGUAGGCGGAAUUCGUGGUGUAGCGGUGAAAUGCUUAGAUAUCACGAAGAACUCCGAUUGCGAAGGCAGCCUGCUGGACUGUAACUGACGCUGAUGCUCGAAAGUGUGGGUAUCAAACAGGAUUAGAUACCCGGGUAGUC
rnacentral:rRNA from 1 species